UACGAAGGGGGCGAGCGUUGUUCGGAAUUACUGGGCGUAAAGGGCGCGCAGGCGGCUCGACAAGUCAGAUGUGAAAGCCCCGGGCUCAACCUGGGAACGGCAUUUGGGACUGUCGGGCUAGAGUUCGGGAGAGGUGGGUGGAAUUCCCAGUGUAGAGGUGAAAUUCGUAGAUAUUCGGAAGAACACCAGUGGCGAAGGCGGCUCACUGGACCGGCAUUGACGCUGAGGUGCGAAAGCGUGGGGAGCAAACAGG
rnacentral:rRNA from 1 species